rnacentral:rRNA from 1 species
UACGUAGGGUGCAAGCGUUAAUCGGAAUUACUGGGCGUAAAGCGUGCGCAGGCGGUGAUGUAAGACAGUUGUGAAAUCCCCGGGCUCAACCUGGGAACUGCAUCUGUGACUGCAUCGCUGGAGUGCGGCAGAGGGGGAUGGAAUUCCGGCGUGUAGCAGUGAAAUGCGUAGAUAUGCGGAGGAACACCGAUGGCGAAGGCAAUCCCCUGGGCCUGCACUGACGCUCCAUGCACGAAAGCGUGGGGAGCAAACAG